UACGUAGGGGGCUAGCGUUGUCCGGAAUCAUUGGGCGUAAAGCGCGUGUAGGCGGUCCGGUAAGUCCGCUGUGAAAGUCGAGGGCUCAACCCUCGAAUGCCGGUGGAUACUGUCGGGCUGGAGUCCGGAAGAGGCGAGUGGAAUUCCUGGUGUAGCGGUGAAAUGACGCAGAUAUCAGGAGGAACACCAAUGGCGAAGGCAGCUCGCUGGGACGGUACUGACGCUGAGACGCGAAAGCGUGGGGAGCAAACAGG
rnacentral:rRNA from 1 species